AGGACGAACGCUGGCGGCGUGCUUAACACAUGCAAGUCGAACGAGGUUCAAGCAGUGGCAACACUGUGGACGACCUAGUGGCGAACGGGUGAGUAACACGUGAGCAACCUGCCCCGAAGACUGGGAUAACAGCGGGAAACCGCUGCUAAUACCGGAUACCCCCACCGAACCGCAUGGUUUGGUGAGGAAAGGAUUCUGCUUCGGGAGGGACUCGCGGCCUAUCAGCUUGUUGGUGGGGUAACGGCCUACCAAGGCAACGACGGGUAGCUGGUCUGAGAGGACGAUCAGCCACACUGGGACUGAGACACGGCCCAGACUCCUACGGGAGGCAGCAGUGGGGAAUCUUGCGCAAUGGGCGAAAGCCUGACGCAGCAACGCCGCGUGAGGGAUGAAGGUCUUCGGGUUGUAAACCUCUUUCAAGCAGGGACGAUAAUGACGGUACCUGCAGAAGAAGCUCCGGCCAACUACGUGCCAGCAGCCGCGGUAAUACGUAGGGAGCGAGCGUUGUCCGGAAUUAUUGGGCGUAAAGAGCUCGUAGGCGGCUUGGUAAGUUGGAUGCGAAACCUCCAGGCUCAACCUGGAGUCGCCAUCCAAUACUGCCAUGGCUAGAGUCCGGUAGGGGCCCACGGAAUUCCUGGUGUAGCGGUGAAAUGCGCAGAUAUCAGGAGGAACACCGGUGGCGAAGGCGGUGGGCUGGGCCGGCACUGACGCUGAGGAGCGAAAGCGUGGGGAGCGAACAGGAUUAGAUACCCUGGUAGUCCACGCCGUAAACGUUGGGCACUAGGUGUGGGACCUUUCAACGGGUUCCGUGCCGUAGCUAACGCAUUAAGUGCCCCGCCUGGGGAGUACGGCCGCAAGGCUAAA
rnacentral:rRNA from 1 species